rnacentral:rRNA from 1 species
UCUACGGGAGGCAGCAGUGAGGAAUAUUGGUCAAUGGGCGGAAGCCUGAACCAGCCAAGUCGCGUGAGGGAUUAAGGCCCUAUGGGUCGUAAACCUCUUUUGUCAGGGAGCAAGGUCGUCCACGUGUGGGCGUAUGGAGAGUACCUGAAGAAAAGGCAUCGGCUAACUCCGUGCCAGCAGCCGCGGUAAUACGGAGGAUGCGAGCGUUAUCCGGAUUUAUUGGGUUUAAAGGGUGCGUAGGCGGGACCUUAAGUCAGCGGUAAAAUUGCGGUGCUCAACGCCGUAGAGCCGUUGAAACUGGGGCUCUUGAGUGAGCGAGAAGUAUGCGGAAUGCGCGGUGUAGCGGUGAAAUGCAUAGAUAUCGCGCAGAACUCCGAUUGCGAAGGCAGCAUGCCGGCUCCACACUGACGCUGAGGCACGAAAGCGUGGGUAUCGAACAGGAUUAGAUACCCUAGUAGUC